AGGAUGAACGCUAGCGACAGGCUUAACACAUGCAAGUCGAGGGGUAACAUUGGAAGCUUGCUUUCAGAUGACGACCGGCGCACGGGUGCGUGACGCGUAUACAAUCUACCUAUUACAGGGGAAUAGCCCAGAGAAAUUUGGAUUAAUGCCCCAUGGUAUUAUAUAGAGGCAUCUUUAUAUAAUUAAAACUCCGGUGGUAAUAGAUGGGUAUGCGUCUUAUUAGCUAGUUGGUAAGGUAAUGGCUUACCAAGGCCACGAUAAGUAGGGGUCCUGAGAGGGAGAUCCCCCACACUGGUACUGAGACACGGACCAGACUCCUACGGGAGGCAGCAGUGAGGAAUAUUGGGCAAUGGAGGCAACUCUGACCCAGCCAUACCGCGUGAAGGAAGAAUGUCCUAUGGAUUGUAAACUUCUUUUAUAUGGGAAGAAUAAGAGCUACGUGUAGCUUGAUGACUGUACCAUAUGAAUAAGCACCGGCUAACUCCGUGCCAGCAGCCGCGGUAAUACGGAGGGUGCAAGCGUUAUCCGGAUUUAUUGGGUUUAAAGGGUCCGUAGGCGGGCCAAUAAGUCAGUGGUGAAAUCCUAUCGCUUAACGAUAGAACUGCCAUUGAAACUGUUGGUCUUGAAUUAUUUUGAAGUUGGCGGAAUGAGUAGUGUAGCGGUGAAAUGCAUAGAUAUUACUCAGAACACCUAUUGCGAAGGCAGCUGACUAAGAAUAUAUUGACGCUGAUGGACGAAAGCGUAGGUAGCGAACAGGAUUAGAUACCCUGGUAGUCUACGCAGUAAACGAUGGAUACUCGUUGUCGGGAAAAUUGAGACUCGGUGGCUAAGCGAAAGUGAUAAGUAUC
rnacentral:rRNA from 1 species